UACGUAGGGGGCAAGCGUUGUCCGGAAUCACUGGGCGUAAAGGGUGCGUAGGCGGUUUUGUAAGUCUGAAGUGAAAACUCAGGGCUUAACCCUGAGACUGCUUUGGAAACUAUAGAACUUGAGUGCUGGAGAGGCAAGGGGAAUUCCACGUGUAGCGGUGAAAUGCGUAGAUAUGUGGAGGAAUACCAGUGGCGAAGGCGCCUUGCUGGACAGUUACUGACGCUGAUGCACGAAAGCGUGGGGAGCAAACAGG
rnacentral:rRNA from 1 species